AGGACGAACGCUGGCGGCGUGCUUAACACAUGCAAGUCGAGCGGAAAGGCCCUUCGGGGGUACUCGAGCGGCGAACGGGUGAGUAACACGUGAGCAACCUGCCCUUGGCUCUGGGAUAGCCUCCGGAAACGGGGAUUAAUACCGGACAUUCUCCGCCUUCCGCAUGGUUGGCGGUGGAAAGUUUUUUUCGGCCGGGGGAGGGGCUCGCGGCCUAUCAGCUUGUUGGCGGGGUAACGGCCCACCAAGGCGACGACGGGUAGCC
rnacentral:rRNA from 1 species